UGAUGCUUCUCUGUAGAUGCAGAUUUGGGGU
rnacentral:piRNA from 2 species